ensembl:scaRNA
UGGCAUGGUUUCCUGCAGGGCGAGCUCAGCCUACUCUACCAAGCCUAGAUUAGAAGGGCCUGGCAUCCUUUCCUUAAAUUAAGCAAGGAGCCUUACCCAGGUUGUCCUAGUCUCAUAUUU